AAUAGAAUCCAAAAUGCGCACGGUAAUUGGACCACGUCCACAGAAAGACCAACAUUGAGCUCCUGCUUUAAUUUCUACACAAUUCCUUCAGUACCAAGUGUGGCUACCCUGCGCUUUCUCAGAACUAAAAGAAAACAAAAAAGCAUAUCGACUUUAUUGUUUCAAGGAAUAUUUGUGUUCUUUGAUCUGCUGGAGAGUUUGCAGAUAUUGAUAUUGUUGUUUCUCAGAAUCUUCUAAGUUGUUGAAAAGAUGGGAACUACCUUGUUCACUAGUUGCAGCUUUCCUUGGAGUUGGAGAUUUCAUCACCAACUAGUACCUUGCAGCCAUUUGCUGGUUUAUUCUUCCCAAGAAAGUGGAAUAUCAAGAGCUAAAGCAACUGCAGAACCAAGAGAAAGUGGGUAUCUUGAGGGAGAAAAUGAGAAGUCCUCUGGGUUUUUGAAGAGAAGGUCAGUUUUGGUUUCUGGGAUUUCUAUGCUUCCUUCUGCAGUUUUUGGAUAUCCAGGAGAGGGAUUGGCAGCAGUGAAACAAGGCCUUUUAGCAGGGAGGAUCCCGGGUUUAUCUCAACCAGAUGAAGAAGGUUGGUUUUCAAAGUUCUAUACUUGUUUUUUCCUUUCCCCUGAACUAAAAAAAUAUCAAUGUAAAGGUGUGUUCUAGAUUUUCUGGAAAGAAAGCUUUCAUUCUUAUGCUAAAUUCCACUGACAAUGGAAACCAUGGUGCAUAAUGGUAUGAUAUAGGCAAAACUUGUUUCAAACAGGCUCCACUUGUAUACUGCUAAUUGAAUGAAACCUGAGCUGAGUUUCUUGAUUGUAUGUGAAUGGUAAACUUCAUUAUCCAAAAUAUGCUCAGACAGGCUGGAGGACAUACCGCAGGCCGGAUGAUAAAUCUGGGGGGCAUGGUGUCGGAUGGAGUCCAAUUAUCCCUUAUGCAUUUGUAGUGCCUCAAGAUUGGGAAGAGGUUCCAGUAUCCAUUGCUGAUCUUGGUGGCACAGAGAUUGAUUUGAGAUUUGCCAGCUCCAAGGAAGGACGCCUGUUCGUCAUUGUUGCUCCUGUUCUUAGAUUUGCAGACAAUCUAGGUGGAAAUGCAUCAAUUGAACUUAUUGGACCUCCAGAGAAAGUGAUUAAUGCAUUUGGACCAGAAGUGAUUGGAGAGAAUGUAGAAGGGAGGGUUCAAAGCAUUAAUGUUGCAGAACAUUCUGGAAGAAUGUAUUACCAGUAUGAGCUAGAGCCCCCCCAUGUUCUGAUCACUGCAACUGCUGCUGGGAAUCGCCUCUACUUGUUCGCCGUAACUGGGAGUGGUCUUCAGUGGAAGAGGCACUACAAGGAUUUGAAGAGAAUAGCUGAAUCUUUCCGUGUUGUCUAGUCAAGCACUUUUCUGAAUUGAACUAAGCAAAGCAGUAUGCUUUUCCCCCCACAAUCUAAAACAAGAACAGAUAAGAGAAUCCAUUUACAGCAAAAUUAAUUCCCAUUUAAUAUCCUUUGUCCGGAGAAAAUUUUAGAAAUGCUCUGUAGAGAUUAAAAAAAUGUAUUUACAGUACAGUCAAGUUAAAUUGGAAAUUAUACAUGUACUCUGGAUGUAAUCUUUGAGAAAAACUUUCCUGAUGUUAGUCUUUAGCAGCUAGAUACACACGGGAAUAAAAAAUCCAGGUCCAGCUGCUUGACCAUUGCAUUUUUAACUCUUUAACUAAUUGCCAAACACUAUGCCCUCCUCACAUCCUGCAAUAUGGAAAGCCUCACGCACCACGUCAGUUGCAAAGCAUUGUAUUCCUUAAGUCCAUUGCAGUUCAGAGGUGGUGGCGGCACUAUUUGAUUAAAAAACAGUGCAGGUGAUAUUGCCAUAUAUUUCCCUCUUUCUUCUGCUGACCAGCCUUGCAUGAUUGGACAUUAGUACCAAGGAGUAGCACAACAAGGUUAAAUGCCCAUUGCAAGCACUGCACAUCUCUAAUCUACUGUGAGGCUAGUGUCCCCAUCCAACUAAAACGCACAACAAGUGAAACGCUCAUCUUUCUUCUGGUGAUCAACCUUUCGUACCAGAUCAAUGGACAUAUUUUACAAGGAGUGGUGCAACAAUUUUAUUGGAGCGUUUGCCUAGAUGCUGAAUCACAUCUUUUACCAGUGUCUUUUCAGUUUAUGGAGACCUUUCUCUGAAAAAAUGGGUGAUGGUCAACUUCACCGUGGCAGUCAACUUGGCAAAAGCAAUACUAUUGCUGCGUAUUCACUAGCACAACUGAACUGCGUCCGGGUGUCUUAGGAAGCCCUUUAGUCACCAUAACCAUCCUCAUCCUUUCAGCCUUUUCCCAACUAUCAGAAGCAGCAAAUAUAUUCGACAGCAGAACACAAUGUGGAUCAUUGCCAGAAUCUAUACUACAGUCUUCUCUUCUAACCUCUUCCAUUACUUGCUCCACCAUAUCCAUAUCCAAAUGAACUCGACAAGCUCCAAGCAAUGCACCCCAAACUGCAUCAUUCGGUUUCAUUGGCAUUCUCUUAAUGAACUCAUAAGCAUCUUGUACUCUUCCUGCACGCCCAAGAAGAUCAACCACACAGCCGUAGUGUUUGAUGCUUGCUGCUAGCCCACACUUAUCAAUCUUAGAGAAAAUUUCUAAACCUUCAUCUAUAAAUCCCCCAUGUGCACAAGCGGAGAGGACAGAUAAAAAUGUUAUCUCAUCGGGUUUCUCAUUUGACUCUUCCAUCCUCCUGAAAAAGUCAAGAGCUUCUUUGCACUGCCCAUGAAUGGCAAAACCUGAUAUCAUAGCAUUCCAACAGGCACUGCUUUUAUAGGUCAUCCCUUCAAAGAUUGAUCUCGCAUUAGUUAAAUCCCCACAUUUUGCAUACAUGUCAACUAAUGCAUUCAUAACAAACUGAUUAAGCUUUAUCCCUUUAUCAUAUACCAUUCGGUGAACAUCUUUCCCAACGUCCAGUAGACCCAGCUGAGCACAAGCAGAUAAAAUACCCGCAACUGUGACUUCAUCAGGUUCAAAGCCAUCGGCUUGCAUCUUUCUGAACGCUUCCAGGGCUUCCUCACAAAACCCAUUUUGCGCAUACCCACAAAUCAAAGAAUUCCAAUUUACCAAGUUCCUAAGUGGAACCCGAUCAAAAAUAGCCCUGGCCUCCUCGACAUCACCUAUCUUGCAAUAUCCUGAAAUCAUUGAUGACCAUGAGAAGAAAUUCCUCUCGGGCAUCUGUUCGAAAAGUACCCUUGCAUCUAUCAUCAGUCCUUUGCUUGCAUAUCCAUCAACCAUCACAGUCCAUGUUACCACAUUCUUCAACUCAGGAGGCACCUGGUCAAACAUACACCUAGCAGUAACCAAAUCUCCACUCCCUGUGAAUCCACGAAUCAUUUCAAUCCAAGUAACAGCAGUUCUUGUGGACAUUUUCUCAAACAAAGCUGACGCGGUUUUCAUACCUCCAUUUCUAACGUAUCCACCAAUCAUCGCAUUCCAUGUUACAACAUUUCUCUCGGGCAUACAAUCAAACAUUUUACGUGAAUCAAAUAUAUCCCCGGAUUUCGCAUACAUGUCAACCAACGAAGUUCCAAUCACUACAUCAAAAUCCACCCCAUUCUUGAUUGCUUCACCAUGCAAACAUUUUCCAUAUUUUACUAUAGAGGCAGAAGCGCAAGCCUUCAGAAUUGCAGGGACUAAACCCAAUAUGUAAGCUCCUUUACAUCGAAUUUGAUUGUAUAAAACUAAUGCUUCUCUUUGUGAUCCUUGAUAGAUGUAUUUCCUGAUGAGAAAAUACCAAUUUGGCUGGAGUGCAUUCGCGUGGCAAGAGCGAGAAUUUUGUUUGAUGAAGUUUUGAUGUGAUUUGCUCUGGUUUUGAUGGUCAUUGUUUGUGUUCUUUGGUGGGUUCUUCUGGGGCAAGUUCAUUUUCACAUCUCAUAGUCUCCCUUGUUUUGCAUGUUUUAGUGACAAAAUAGUUCUCUCGACUUCUGAUAAUCUCCUUUUUGCAUUAGAAAAUCCAAUUUGAAUAUGACACCUGAUAAGAAAAUCUCAAACCUUUUCCCUUCUGGACUGGUCUCCAGUCUUGGACGCUAAAUGUGUUUGUCCAAAAUGCCCUAUAAAAUUUUUAUGCUAACAGUGGCCGGAAAUUGGGAUACGCUUUUUGGGUGUUUGAGGAAAUGUCUCUGAGAGGCUGAAAAUGCAAUUGGGGUUGUUUGAUUCCACGUCGGAGACAAGCCUUAUCACAUUGAAUUCUAUUGUUUAGGGGCUAUCAAUGGCUGAGAAAAUGGAGUGUAUUCGUUGAGUCUUCGAGAGGAUGCUAGUAAGAAAUUAAGUUUCGU
rnacentral:misc_RNA from 1 species